AUUGAACGCUGGCGGCAUGCCUAAUACAUGCAAGUCGAGCGAACAGAUGAAGUGCUUGCACUUCUGACGUUAGCGGCGAACGGGUGAGUAACACGUAAGGAAUCUACCUAUAAGCGGGGGAUAACAUUCGGAAACGGGUGCUAAUACCGCAUAAUAUCUUCUUCCGCAUGGAAGGAGAUUGAAAGACGGCUCUGCUGUCACUUAUAGAUGACCUUGCGGUGCAUUAGUUAGUUGGUGGGGUAACGGCCUACCAAGACGAUGAUGCAUAGCGGACCUGAGAGGGUGAUCGGCCACAUUGGGACUGAGACACGGCCCAAACUCCUACGGGAGGCAGCAGUAGGGAAUCUUCCGCAAUGGGCGAAAGCCUGACGGAGCAAUGCCGCGUGAGUGAAGAAGGCCUUCGGGUCGUAAAACUCUGUUAUAAGAGAAGAACAAAUUGUAGAGUAACUGCUACAGUCUUGACGGUAUCUUAUCAGAAAGCCACGGCUAACUACGUGCCAGCCGCCGCCGUAA
rnacentral:rRNA from 1 species